CCUACGGGAGGCAGCAGUAGGGAAUCUUCCACAAUGGGCGAAAGCCUGAUGGAGCAACGCCGCGUGGGUGAAGAAGGUCUUCGGAUCGUAAAACCCUGUUGUUAGAGAAGAAAGUGCGUGAGAGUAACUGUUCACGUUUCGACGGUAUCUAACCAGAAAGCCACGGCUAACUACGUGCCAGCAGCCGCGGUAAUACGUAGGUGGCAAGCGUUAUCCGGAUUUAUUGGGCGUAAAGGGAACGAAGGCGGUCUUUUAAGUCUGAUGUGAAAGCCUUCGGCUUAACCGGAGUAGUGCAUUGGAAACUGGGAGACGUGAGUGCAGAAGAGGAGAGUGGAACUCCAUGUGUAGCGGUGAAAUGCGUAGAUAUAUGGAAGAACACCAGUGGCGAAAGCGGCUCUCUGGUCUGUAACUGACGCUGAGGCUCGAAGGUGCGGGUAUCAAACAGGAUUAGAUACCCUUGUAGUC
rnacentral:rRNA from 1 species